rfam:Cavia porcellus supercont2_38 genomic scaffold, whole genome shotgun sequence.
CCAAAGGCUCUUUUCAGAGCCACCCACUUUAUCCAAAGAGAGCUGU